rnacentral:lncRNA from 1 species
UAUUGUUUUUUGCGGAAAUGACGAAUGGAGGGAAGGAGAUCGUGAUGAUUACUUGGGAGGAUGACGCAAUAGAAGAUGAUAGGUGUUCGUGCGCGAGAGAGAGAGAGAGAGAGAGAGAGAGAGAGAGACGUCGAGAGAGAGCGAGAGAAAGCGGCGUGCGAGAGAGAGGGCCGGGACGAAGGCGAAAGAGAGAUGAAAAUAAUACUGUUAAUUAGAUUUUGGGUUGUUGGAGGGUAAAAUUGUCAUUUUACAUAAUAUGUAGUAUUAACGGGUUUCAGUAAUGCAAGAUACACGACCCCCCUCCCGUUAAUAUUUUUGAUGUAAUCCUGCUCGAUUUGUAAUGCUACAUUAACGACUAGAUUACAUAGCGGAUUAACCAAACACAGUUAUCCUGGCAGGAUUGCCUGUAAUCCUGUCAGGAUAACUCGAACCAAACGCACCCUAAGGGUAUUUAUGUAUUAAUUCUUUAUAAUUCAUAAUAUGAGGGCAAAUAUUCUAUUCGAUCUAUUAUAUGGCAGUACAAUAUUGACGUGAAUCGUCCAUAGGGUCUUUGAUUGAGAAGAUAUUGUCACACCCUAAUAAUCCUAUAUCGGAUAUGAAUGGGGAUGUGAUGGGGUAUAUAAGAGACUUAGACACUAGUAAUAAUAACUGAGCUUAAGCAUUUUGGGCCGGUGGUUGGGCCCAAUGAGUUAUUAUUGCUAGUGGGCUGGGUCGUUACAUUUGAUAUCAGAGCAUAAAACAA